GUCAAGUCAGCAUGACCUUUAUAUCCAGGGCUACACACACGCUACAAUGGUCUGUACAAUGGGUAGCCAAGCCGCGAGGCGGAGCCAAUCCUGAAAGCAGGCCUCCAGUUCAGAUUGCAGUCUGCAACUCGACUGCAUGAAGCCGGAGUUGCUAGUAACCGCAGGUCAGCAAUACUGCGGUGAAUACGUUCCCGGGUCUU
rnacentral:rRNA from 1 species